rnacentral:tRNA from 1 species
CGCCGGCAUGGACCGGCUGGUCGGGGCGCCCGAGGCGCUGCAAUUCGUCCGCCGGCUGGCGUUCGACCCGCCGUCGGCGGC